UGCGUGUGUAUGUCAUUUUCACCGAUGCUGUUUAUAGGGAUACACAUUGUGAAGUCCUGAUCCGAGGCCUUUGUGUGCAUCCAUCUUCUAGCGCCUUUGUCGUUUCGACUAUCUGAAAAGAUUGAGAUAUCGACGUAAAAAGCCAUCCAAGUUGUUAGAGGACAUAUAGAACAGUAAAAUGCCGCACGCCAUAGUUCAGACAACUGAUGCAAGAGGAAAUGCCGAGCUAUAUAUAAUUCCAGAGGGCUGGAUACAGGAAAC